rnacentral:rRNA from 1 species
GUGAACGCUGGCGGUAGGCCUAACACAUGCAAGUCGAACGGCAGCACAGUAAGAGCUUGCUCUUACGGGUGGCGAGUGGCGGACGGGUGAGGAAUACAUCGGAAUCUACUUUUUCGUGGGGGAUAACGUAGGGAAACUUACGCUAAUACCGCAUACGACCUACGGGUGAAAGCAGGGGAUCUUCGGACCUUGCGCGAUUGAAUGAGCCGAUGUCGGAUUAGCUAGUUGGCGGGGUAAAGGCCCACCAAGGCGACGAUCCGUAGCUGGUCUGAGAGGAUGAUCAGCCACACUGGAACUGAGACACGGUCCAGACUCCUACGGGAGGCAGCAGUGGGGAAUAUUGGACAAUGGGCGCAAGCCUGAUCCAGCCAUACCGCGUGGGUGAAGAAGGCCUUCGGGUUGUAAAGCCCUUUUGUUGGGAAAGAAAAGCAGCAGGUUAAUAUCCCGCUGUUCUGACGGUACCCAAAGAAUAAGCACCGGCUAACUUCGUG